GUAGGUGGCAAGCGUUGUCCGGGAAUUAUUGGGGCGUAAAGCGCGCGCAGGCGGUUCUUUAAGUCUGAUGUGAAAGCCCACGGGCUCAACCGUGGGAGGGUCAUUGGAAACUGGAGAACUUGAGUACAGAAGAGGAAAGCGGAAUUCCACGUGUAGCGGUGAAAUGCGUAGAGAUGUGGAGGAACACCAGUGGCGAAGGCGGCUUUCUGGUCUGUAACUGACGCUGAGGCGCGAAAGCGUGGGGAGCAAACAGGAUUAGAUACCCUGGUAGUCCACGCCGUAAACGAUGAGUGCUCAGUGUUAGGGGGUUUCCGCCCCUUAGUGCUGCAGCUAACGCAUUAAGCACUCCGCCUGGGGAGUACGGCCGCAAAGGCUGA
rnacentral:rRNA from 1 species